rnacentral:misc_RNA from 1 species
AUAUGCCCCAGAUUGAAGUAAAAACCCCGGAAUACGGUUAGUUUCAAUUUUAUGUGUUUAUAAAGCGACCAAAGGAAGCUCUUGAAAACACUUAAUAAUUGUACUAACUGGAUGAGGAGUUGUAACGGAAAGCUGGAUUAGGC